rnacentral:snoRNA from 1 species
AUAUGAUGAAUACCUUUUAUCUAUUAACUUUCGUUCUACUGAGUAGAAAAUGCGGAGAAAUUUACCUG